AGGGAUUAGACAUGAUAUAACUUACUAAGUACUCACCCAGAUAAAUCUGGUACCCAUAUGACACCAUACAUAGUUAUUAUAAAACUGACUAUAU